rnacentral:rRNA from 1 species
GACGUAGGGGACGAGCGUUGUCCGGAUUUAUUGGGCGUAAAGAGCUCGUAGGCGGCUUGUUGCGUCGACUGUGAAAACCCGCGGCUUAACCGCGGGCUUGCAGUUGAUACGGGCAGGCUAGAGUUCGGUAGGGGAGACUGGAAUUCCUGGUGUAGCGGUGAAAUGCGCAGAUAUCAGGAGGAACACCGGUGGCGAAGGCGGGUCUCUGGGCCGAUACUGACGCUGAGGAGCGAAAGCGUGGGGAGCGAACAGG